CUGAACUAUGCAAGUAUUGAGCAUACUACACGGAAAAGUGAAAGUGGUUGUGUUGGGAAAAAAAAAGCGAGGCUAGCAUUUUCUGAGGUAGAACAAGAAUGAACAAAUUUAUCAUGAUAGGAAAAUACAGCAACCAAAAAGCCAACUCAAUGCAGCAGAAAACCAGUCAGUACUAUUUUAAAAUGCUUUCAUUAUUAUCACUUUCUCCUUUGUAUAUCCCUCUUAAAGCCAUAGAUUUUCUUCAUCUA
rnacentral:misc_RNA from 1 species